rnacentral:rRNA from 1 species
UACGAAGGGGGCUAGCGUUGUUCGGAAUUACUGGGCGUAAAGCGCGCGCAGGCGGCCAUUCAAGUCAGGGGUGAAAGCCCAGAGCUCAACUCUGGAACUGCCCUUGAAAACUGUAUGGCUUGAGUAUGAGAGAGGUGAGUGGAAUUCCCAGUGUAGAGGUGAAAUUCGUAGAUAUUGGGAAGAACACCGGUGGCGAAGGCGGCUCACUGGCUCAUUACUGACGCUCAGGCGCGACAGCGUGGGGAUCAAACAGG